rnacentral:rRNA from 1 species
CGGCUACCACAUCCAAGGAAGGCAGCAGGCGCGCAAAUUACCCAAUCCCGACACGGGGAGGUAGUGACAAUAAAUACUGAUACAGGACUCUUUUGGGUCUUGUAAUUGGAAUGAGUACAAUUUAAAUCCCUUAACGAGGAACAAUUGGAGGGCAAGUCUGGUGCCAGCAGCCGCGGUAAUUCCAGCUCCAAUAGCGUAUAUUAAAGUUGUUGCAGUUAAAAAGCUCGUAGUUGAACCUUGGGCCUGGCUGGCCGGUCCGCCUCACCGCGUGCACUGGUCCGGCCGGGCCUUUCCUUCUGGGGAGCCGCAUGCCCUUCACUGGGUGUGUCGGGGAACCAGGACUUUUACUUUGAAAAAAUUAGAGUGUUCAAAGCAGGCCUAUGCUCGAAUACAUUAGCAUGGAAUAAUAGAAUAGGACGUGUGGUUCUAUUUUGUUGGUUUCUAGGACCGCCGUAAUGAUUAAUAGGGAUAGUCGGGGGCAUCAGUAUUCAAUUGUCAGAGGUGAAAUUCUUGGAUUUAUUGAAGACUAACUACUGCGAAAGCAUUUGCCAAGGAUGUUUUCAUUAAUCAGUGAACGAAAGUUAGGGGAUCGAAGACGAUCAGAUACCGUCGUAGUCUUAACCAUAAACUAUGCCGACUAGGGAUCGGACGGGAUUCUAUAAUGACCCGUUCGGCACCUUACGAGAAAUCAAAGUUUUUGGGUUCUGGGGGGAGUAUGGUCGCAAGGCUGAAACUUAAAGAAA